AACGAACGCUGGCGGCAUGCCUAACACAUGCAAGUCGAACGAGACCUUCGGGUCUAGUGGCGCACGGGUGCGUAACGCGUGGGAAUCUGCCCUUGGUUUGGAAUAACAGUUAGAAAUGACUGCUAAUACCGGAUAAUGUCUUCGGACCAAAGAUUUAUCGCCCAGGGAUGAGCCCGCGUAGGAUUAGCUAGUUGGUGAGGUAAAGGCUCACCAAGGCGACGAUCCUUAGCUGGUCUGAGAGGAUGAUCAGCCACACUGGGACUGAGACACGGCCCAGACUCCUACGGGAGGCAGCAGUGGGGAAUAUUGGACAAUGGGCGAAAGCCUGAUCCAGCAAUGCCGCGUGAGUGAUGAAGGCCUUAGGGUUGUAAAGCUCUUUUACCCGGGAUGAUAAUGACAGUACCGGGAGAAUAAGCCCCGGCUAACUCCGUGCCAGCAGCCGCGGUAAU
rnacentral:rRNA from 1 species